rnacentral:misc_RNA from 1 species
UUUUGAAUGAAUUGGAUUAAUUUAUAUAUACAAUAUGCGCAAGCACUUAAAACGUGAACAUAAAAUAAUUCACAAUACCAACAAGAUUAAAUAGUAUCUUCCUAGAUGCCAUUACUAAUAAGCCUGGAAAACCAAGCGAAUUGAUUUGGUAAAAACCAAUAAAACUAAGCAUUAACCAAUACUAAUGAUUUCGUUCAGAAAACACAAUAGAAGUAACCAGUAUGAUCCCCAAAGUUUCCUACUACCCCGAUUAGCAUCAAUUAGGGAGAUUUCUGCGGGAUUGCUGCAACUUUUGCUGCCAAAUUCUGGAUGACCAAUGAACACUCUUAGCUGCACACCAACACUAAGCAAAUCCUCAGUUUCAAAAGGAUUGGACAAAGAAUUCACUUGGCAAUAACAGUAGAACAUAAAGGACAAUACCCCUAUUCCCUACUGGCAAUAUCAAGCAAUUCCUGGAACUCAUUAUAAGGAACUGCAUAUGCCGCUAAAUUAUUGACAAAGAAAGCUAUUCACUGUACAAAAUAAUCCACAACAAGACCACAGAAAUGCCAACAAUCACUAGCAAUAUUUUGGAAAGGAAGCAAUUCUCUUGCAGAUACAUGCUACAAGUAAGAAUACACUCACCAGAGUAGUCGCUACAUGUUCUAUAACAGAUACAAUUUUAAAAACCAGUCAAAUUGCUGUUAUAAAUGAAGCUUCAUAAGCACUACCGAGGAUGCACCCAACAUUAGAAAUAUUCCCUAUUCUCAAUUCUCAAGUUCCAGUUUUCCACAAUCAAUGGGGUAACACAGAGAAACCUACAAAUCUACUUCUAAAUUACUGCAAAAAUCUAAGUUCAACUCUUAGUUAUCACUAUCACUAUUGUUAUUAUUAUGAAUAAUAUUGUUACCACUGAUGUGAUGAUGAUGAUUACUACCAUUUGCUCCCCUUCUACCGCGCUUCAAUUGCGAGAUUUCCAUCUGGGUCUUCAUGAAAAAUUGCAUCCUCUGCAAUUCCAGCUCUUUGGCAAACUUCAUCCUCGUCUUCUCCAUCUCCACCACCUGCUGCAACUUGACACUCUCUGCCUGCUCAUAAGCUUCCCCAAACUUGAGUAUUGCUUGUGUCAACAUUCUAAUUGAAUUCCCCCACCCUUUUCUUUCCUUCACUCCCUUUGUAUUCACUCCUCUCUGCACCACCACCCUUGACUUCUUCUCUGGUGGCAAACUAUCAUCCGAAUCUGGAAAAUUCUCCUCCUCCUCCGAGGAUGACUCAGUUUCCACCUGAUUUCGUUUUCGAAGAUGCGGUUUCACAUUAUGACUCUUCGUUACCUGAUUGCUCUUCAUUUGUGCCUUUCCUUGAUGAAACUGAUAUUGGUUCGACCCACUAGCUCCACCACUGCGUAUCCCAACUGGGAUUCCUACCGGAACUUUGCUAGACAAAGAAGCAGCAGCGGCAGCAGCAGUAACAGGGAUCUUGGCGGUUGGACCAAUUAACUGAUCCAAACGUUCGUAAAACGGCCACUUGCUGGGUCCACCACCCGAAGCAAUCUUCGCUUUCUCCAAUUUAUACUUCUUCUUCACCGUAUCAAUUCGGUUCUUGCAUUGAAUAUCAGUCUUCGCAGCCUUCUUAUAGUCCUCUCUGCUACUCACAAUAUCCGCAACUUCCUUCCAGUGCUUCUGCUUCAGAUUCCCUCUGCUCAGCUCCAAAUACCUCUCACCCCACGCGUCAAUUAGCACCGCCGUCGCUCCUUCGCUCCAGCAAUCCUCUCUUCCGCCGCCGUUGGUCUUCGGCUGCUGGAUCGGUAGAGUUAGCGCUAAGCUAUUGUUGUUCUGCUGUUGAGGAUGAGAAGACGGAGGCGCAGCAGCCACCGUCACCGUAAUUCUCCCGUUGGGUGGAGACGGCGAGGGAGAUCCGGUGGCCGCCGAUGUGUGUGACUGUAUCUCCUCAUCAUCGUCCAUCGCGACAAAAAUCAACGGCUUAGAUCUGAUGAUUCCGACUACAAGUUAAAAAGAGCAAAUAAAGAAACAUAGAACAAAGAGAAAGGAGGUGCGUGCGACUGUAUAUAUUAGAAACGUUGACGGGAAAAUUUUGGGAGCUGACGGAGAAGGAGAAGGUGGGCUAUGAAAAAGAGAGCGUAGGGGGACACGUGGAGAAGAGAAGUUGGGCAAGGGGUGAGGUGGAGGAAUAUGAUUGGGAAUGCGUAGUGAAUUCCGUCACCGGCGUGAUGGGGAGAGUAGCCGGCUUGGUAGUUUAAGCGUGUUAACUUUAUCCGAGGAAUGGAAUUGACGGAAAACACCAUGGUUUUGAUUGGAAUUAACGGAAAUGCCUACAGUAGCUGCCUGCCAGUUUCCGGUGGUGGUUAUUUGCCUAAACUGCCCUCUCGCCGUACAAGAAUGUGGUGAUGCUGUAAUAUAUCGUCGUAUUUUUUUGGGGAGUUUUCAAUAAAACGAAAGAGCUGGGAAAUUUAAAUCCAUGAUCUCAUUUAUAUUAUGAUAUAAACACUUAUAAUUAUAAUUAGUUUAAUAUAUAAUUGUAAUUAGUUUAAUAUUACUCUUUAAUCACUUUUAUCUAAUUAAUUUUAAUUUCUUGUUAAAGUGAUUUUAGCAGGUGAGGGUAAUUUAGUCAUGAGAUAAAGAUAAACUUGGAGCGAGGUUAAUCACUUAUGAACAAACGCGGAUCAGCCGAUGACUUGAAAAAACAAGGGGACAUAGACGUACGAGUUACGCAGGGGAUUAGGAAAAAACGGUGAGCUUAAAAAGAGAGUUGGAUGAUGUGUCGCCGAAAGGAUGAACAGUGAGAACCGAAAGUGACGAGCAGGUCAGAAUAAGGAAAGAACGCUGACGGGAACCGGCAGGUGUAAGUGUAUAAGUAAGAAAGAAA